rnacentral:rRNA from 1 species
CAUAGCGGAGGAAAAGAAACUAACAAGGAUUCCCCUAGUAGCGGCGAGCGAAGCGGGAAGAGCUCAAAUUUAUAAUCUGGCACCUUCGGUGUCCGAGUUGUAAUCUCUAGAAAUGUUUUCCGCGUUGGACCGCACACAAGUCUGUUGGAAUACAGCGGCAUAGUGGUGAGACCCCCGUAUAUGGUGCGGACGCCCAGCGCUUUGUGAUACAUUUUCGAAGAGUCGAGUUGUUUGGGAAUGCAGCUCAAAUUGGGUGGUAAAUUCCAUCUAAAGCUAAAUAUUGGCGAGAGACCGAUAGCGAACAAGUACCGUGAGGGAAAGAUGAAAAGCACUUUGGAAAGAGAGUUAACAGUACGUGAAAUUGUUGGAAGGGAAACGCUUGAAGUCAGACUUGCUUGCCGAGCAAUCGGUUUGCAGGCCAGCAUCAGUUUUCCGGGAUGGAUAAUGGUAGAGAGAAGGUAGCAGUUUCGGCUGUGUUAUAGCUCUCUGCUGGAUACAUCUUGGGGGACUGAGGAACGCAGUGUGCCUUUGGCGGGGGUUUCGACCUCUUCACACUUAGGAUGCUGGUGGAAUGGCUUUAAACGACCCGUCUUGAC